ensembl:lncRNA
UGAGCAGAAGACGGCGUUGGAGAAACUGUCCAGCGGUACAGAGCUGCUGAGCCUCUCCACCUCGGACAGGAGCGGACAAGUGGAGGACAGCGAGGAAGGAGUGUCCAAGUGUCUCAUUCAAGACUUGGUAAACAAGAAUCAGGAGCUCAAGGAGGAGAUAUACAGCCUGAAGAAAGAAGUGGAGACGCUUAAAAAUCGCUUAGUCAGAUCUUGCUAAACCAACAAGAUCGUCUGGUCUUUGUAUCUGGUGGAGCCCUACACCAGCUAACUGGCCAGGCCCAGUCCCAGGUCAGCAGGGAGGUUGAGCAUGUCCCAGAGACACUGGAAGCUCUGACGGACGUAGGGGAACUACAGAAGAAGCAAAGAAAUAAAAAAAAGUAAACAAACGCUGAAAAGCGGGAAAAGAAGAAACAAAAGACCAAAUAAAGAGUUAUGUUGUGUCAA